GGUUUGUGGCUCAGUAGUAGAGCACUUGCUUAGCAUGCAUGAGGCACUGGGUUCAAUCCCAGGCACCA
rnacentral:tRNA from 1 species